rnacentral:lncRNA from 1 species
AGGAGGUUUCUGUGUUCACAACCAGCUGACACUGCUGAAGAGCAGAGAUGUAAUGGCUACUCAGACUAUAGGAACCACUUUAAAGGGGGGAGGGAAGUUAAAUUUUUAUGUAAAUUCAACACGUGACACUUGAUGAUAGUAAUUGUCACCACUGUUUAUGAUUUAACUGCCACACCUGCCACAUUUUUACAAAACGUAUGCUGUGAAUUUAUCACCUUUUUUUUUUUUUAUUAAUAAUUUUGAUUAAGUAUAGCCAUGUAUAUACAUCACAUUGAUAGGCAAUUGUUUUGUUUUAGCCAAUUCUUUAUUUUUUGAAUUGCAUUAAAUUUUCGAUUUAAUUUCAAUUUUCACUCAAUGAAAAUUUGAAAAUGUAUUCCUUGUCUUGGAUGAUAUAAAAUCCUUUAUAUUUUUUUAUUAACAAGUUUCUCUAAAUUACAGACCUUGAGAGUAUUGCAUUUUGGUCUUUUUUCCUUAUGCUGGUGGUAUGUAACUUGUAUUAUUUCCUCUUCAUAGAUUACGUGCUUCCUAAAGUUCAAUAUUAUUUCUUUGGUUUGUCUUUCCAUCACUUGUAGUGCCUAACACACAUAUAGGUGCUCAAUAGAUGCUUGUUAUAAUCAAUUGAUAUAAACUAUUUUAUCUCUCUGUAGAUUUGACUUCAAUGAAUGUUAAUCUGAAACUGCUUUAUACAGAUUUUUAAAUUUUCCAAAUGUUCUGAAAUGAACAUAAAUGAUUUUAUAAUCUGAAAAAAAAAAAAAAAAAACUAAGCUAAGUUUCAGAGCACCUAGGUGGCCCUCUUGGUUGGGCAUCUAGCUCUUGAUUUUGGCUCAGGUCAUGAUCUCAGGGUUGUGGGAUAGAGCCUCCUGUUGGGCUCCAGGCCUAGCCUGGGAUUCUCUUGCUCCUUCUCUCUCAGCCCCUCCACCUUCCCUACUCUAAACAAGGAAACAAACAAACAAAAAAACAAAUCUAAGCUUUAUAAUAACAGAAAUGAAAUUUAGUAGCUACUUUUCUAUCUUGGCAUUCUCUCAG